UACAGGGGGGGCAAGCGUUGUUCGGAAUUACUGGGCGUAAAGGGCUUGUAGGUGGCCGACUACGUCCGCCGUGAAAUCCCCAGGCUUAACCUGGGAACUGCGUCGGAUACUGGUUGGCUUGAAUCCGGGAGAGGGAUGCGGAAUUCCAGGUGUAGCGGUGAAAUGCGUAGAUAUCUGGAGGAACACCGGUGGCGAAGGCGGCAUCCUGGACCAAUUCUGACGCUGAGGAGCGAAAGCCAGGGGAGCAAACGGG
rnacentral:rRNA from 1 species